rnacentral:rRNA from 1 species
ACAUACCUAAACGUUGCUUCGGCGGGAACAGACGGCCCCGUGAAACGGGCCGCCCCCGCCAGAGGACCCCUAACUCUGUUUCUAUAAUGUUUCUUCUGAGUAAAACAAGCAAAUAAAUUAAAACUUUCAACAACGGAUCUCUUGGCUCUGGCAUCGAUGAAGAACGCAGCGAAAUGCGAUAAGUAAUGUGAAUUGCAGAAUUCAGUGAAUCAUCGAAUCUUUGAACGCACAUUGCGCCCGCCAGUAUUCUGGCGGGCAUGCCUGUUCGAGCGUCAUUACAACCCUCAGGCCCCCGGGCCUGGCGUUGGGGAUCGGCGGAGCCCCCCGUGGGCACACGCCGUCCCCCAAAUACAGUGGCGGUCCCGCCGCAGCUUCCAUCGCGUAGUAGCUAACACCUCGCGACUGGAGAGCGGCGCGGCCACGCCGUAAAACACCCAACUCUUCUGAAGUUGACCUCGAAUCAGGUAGGAAUACCCGCUGAACUUAAGCAUAUCA